rnacentral:rRNA from 1 species
UCCGAAGGGGGCUAGCGUUGUUGGGAAUCACUGGGCGUAAAGCGCACGUAGGCGGAUUUGUGAGUCAGGGGUGAAAUCCCGGGGCUCAACCUCGGAACUGCCUUUGAUACUGCAACUCUCGAGUCCGGAAGAGGUGAGUGGAAUUCCUAGUGUAGAGGUGAAAUUCGUAGAUAUUAGGAAGAACACCAGUGGCGAAGGCGGCUCACUGGUCCGGUACUGACGCUGAGGUACGAAAGCGUGGGGAGCAAACAGG